GGUCUUUGUAUUGCCUAUUUGCUUUUGGAAACUAGUGAAUAUGAUGUCAGAAUAGGCAUAAAUAAAUAAAUAUCUUACAGAC
rnacentral:snoRNA from 1 species